ensembl:lncRNA
AUAAACCCGCUGCUGCUUCACGCGGGGCGGACCCGCUCCUGACCGGAGGCCCAGGUUCACACAGACAGGGGGGACAGUGGAGCCUGAGCCUGCAGCGCCUCCUGCUGGCCGACAGGGGGCACCGUCCAGACACGUCAGUGAGUUCAUCGACUUGUUCCUCCUGCAUAGAGCCGCCUGUGCUGAACACGGGUCUGGCUCUGGGUCCGGGUCUGGGUCUGGGUUUGUGAUCAGGCGCGUUUAACAGAGGAAACACAUGACGACACCUCGGACCCUCAGCGGGGCCGUCCUCGAACCCUGCGCCUGGUCCUGACUCAGAGGACACACGGACACUUCACUUCCUCAGAAGAAGUUCCAUCCGCGGGGGGACAGCCUGGAACCAGCGCGGGCUUCCUGGUGCAGCUGGACCUCCGCUGAAGGACGGUAAACAAAGCGUUAAAGGCGGCACGGGUCAGAGCGGAGCUGUGGGUACCGGGACAGGCCACACCCCGUCACCGUCCGAGAGGCCCCUGUGCGUGUCGGUGGAAACCAUGGCCUCUGAGAGGCCGCUCGUCGAAACACUGAACCAGCUGAGUCCAGACGACUUCGACAGAUUCAAGUCGCUCGUGGAAGUGGAGAAAGAUUUACCUCCCAUCUCAAAGAGCCGGCUGAAAGAAGGCCGCAGGCAGGAUGUGGUGGAGCUGCUGCUGGGGACAGACUGUGUGGACGUGACCAGGAAGGUUUUAAUGAGGAUGGAGAGGUCGGUCCUGGGGCAGCGCUUUCCAGCUUUUCAGCCAGGAGACAAAAAGACCCCGCCGCCUUCACUGAGGCACCGAGUGGAGGCGCUGGUGUCCGACACUGAGCUGCUCCUGGAGACGCUGGCUGAUCUGACUGACGAAGACCUCGGGACCUUCAAACACACCUUCAGGUUAUUUUACAGGCAGAUCCCAAAGGAAUUAAUGGACCUGCAGGACUCGGUGUGUUUGAUGGUGCAGACGUACGGCCAUCAGACUGUGGAGAAGGCCGCAGAGGUUUUAGGGUACAUGAAGAGGAAGGACCUGGCUCUGAGGCUGACACACAGCGGCUCAACACCCCGGAGACAGCAGCUGGGUGAACAUCUGUCUGCUGCGAUCCACAAAGUGGCGACAUUUAAAGCUGUUACAGAUCUGCUGGUGGAAACCCUGACAGGUCUGGACCGCCACGAGGUCCCAGAGUUCAUGUGGCUCCUGCAGUACACGUUGUUCCACAGGAGUCUUCCUCAGCUCUCAGGGAGGGCCGUGAACAGCACACACACAACGCUCACAGUGGACAUGCUGGUGGAGACGCUGGGCCUGCAGUCGGUGGACGUGACCCGGGAGGUUCUUUCGGCCAUGAGGAGGACUGAUCUGGUGCAGAGGCUGCCAGAGAGGGGCUCAGGAUCCAGAGAGGAGCCCUCUGUGGACGAGGACUGGCCUGCUCUGACCCCCAAGGUGGAGGCGCUGCUGUCUGUCACAGAGCAGCUCGUGGAAACUCUGGCUGGUCUGAGCAGAAGGGAGUGCUGGACUUUCAAGAGACUCCUGACCGCAAUGCACAGAAACAUCCCACUGAAACCGCUGUUGGGCUUGGACCUGCAGGCCUCUGUGAUUUUAAUGGUGCAGAGGCAGGGCCUCCGGUCUCUGCAGUCCACCAUGGAUGUUUUAGAGGACAUGAAGAAGAGUGAUCUGGUCCAGAGGCUGACAGACAGCAGCUCAAACCCCCAAAGAAAACAGCAGCAUGAACAUCCGUCUGCUCUGAUCCACAAAGUGGUCACAGUGGUGGCUGUUAAACAGCUGCUCGUGGAAGCUCUGGAAGAUCUGAGUUAUGGAGAGCUGGGGAAGUUCAAGACGCUCCUGCAGCUGACGAUGUCCGAGCAGGAUCUGUCGGACGUCUCAGAGAGUGUAAGAGCCACACCGGACAGGGACCAGAUCGUGGAUCUGCUGGUGGAUGAGCUCGGACAGCGGUGUGUGAAGGUGAUCAGAGACGUCUUCGUGGACAUGGGCAGGACUGAUCUGGUGCAGCAGCUGAACGGACCGAGCUCUGAAUCCAGAAAGAGACGCUCCAUGGAUCAGUGUCAUCAGGCGCUGUCGAAGGCGGUGAGUGCACACAGCUCUGAUCAAAGUGCAGCUGUGAUGAUGCUUUGGUCCGGGUUCGAGCAGGUGAGGAGAUGCAGAGGGUUAAACCAGGUCUGA